rnacentral:rRNA from 1 species
GAGGAGACGCUGGCGGCGUGGAUUAGGCAUGCAAGUCGAACGGUAUCAUCCUUUCGGGGGUGAGAGAGUGGCGAACUGGUGAGUAACACGUAGGUUAUCUACCCUCAAGACGGGACAACCCAGGGAAACUUGGGCUAAUACCGGAUGUGAGCAACUUUUAGUUGUUUGAAAGGUGGCGUAAGCUGUCGCUUGGGGAUGAGCCUGCGUCCUAUUAGUUAGUUGGUGAGGUAACGGCUCACCUAGGCAAUGAUAGGUAGGCGGCCUUAACGGGUGGUCGCCCACACUGGGAUUGAGAUACGGCCCAGACUCCUACGGGAGGCAGCAGUCGAGAAUAGUCUACAAUGGUCGGAAGACUGAUAGUGCGACGCCGCGUGAACGAUGAAUCCCUUCGGGGUGUAAAGUUCUUUUAUAUGUGAGCAGUGCUUCUUAUAUUAACAGUAUGGGGAGAGAGAUAUUAGCAUAUGAAUAAGCAACGGCUAACUCCGUG